rnacentral:rRNA from 1 species
UACGAAGGGGGCUAGCGUUGCUCGGAAUCACUGGGCGUAAAGGGUGCGUAGGCGGGUCUUUAAGUCAGGGGUGAAAUCCUGGAGCUCAACUCCAGAACUGCCUUUGAUACUGAGGAUCUUGAGUUCGGGAGAGGUGAGUGGAACUGUGAGUGUAGAGGUGAAAUUCGUAGAUAUUCGCAAGAACACCAGUGGCGAAGGCGGCUCACUGGCCCGGAACUGACGCUGAGGUGCGAAAGCGUGGGGAGCAACAGG